rnacentral:rRNA from 1 species
UACGGAGGGGGCUAGCGUUGUUCGGAAUUACUGGGCGUAAAGCGCACGUAGGCGGCUUUGCAAGUUAGAGGUGAAAGCCCAGGGCUUAACCCUGGAAUUGCCUUUAAAACUGCAUCGCUAGAAUUGUGGAGAGGUAAGUGGAAUUCCGAGUGUAGAGGUGAAAUUCGUAGAUAUUCGGAAGAACACCAGUGGCGAAGGCGACUUACUGGACACAUAUUGACGCUGAGGUGCGAAAGCGUGGGGAGCAAACGGG